rnacentral:rRNA from 1 species
UCGAGCGAGAAAGUGGAGCAAUCCAUGAGUAAAGCGGCGCACGGGUGAGUAACACGUGACUAACCUACCCUCGAGUGGGGAAUAACUUCGGGAAACCGAGGCUAAUACCGCAUAACACCUACGGGUCAAAAGAGCAAUCUGCUUGAGGAGGGGGUCGCGGCCGAUUAGUUAGUUGGCGGGGUAAUGGCCCACCAAGACGAUGAUCGGUAUCCGGCCUGAGAGGGCGCACGGACACACUGGAACUGAAACACGGUCCAGACUCCUACGGGAGGCAGCAGUGGGGAAUUUUGCGCAAUGGGGGAAACCCUGACGCAGCAACGCCGCGUGGAGGAUGAAGUCCUUCGGGACGUAAACUCCUUUCGAUCGGGACGAUUAUGACGGUACCGGAAGAAGAAGCCCCGGCUAACUUCGUGCCAGCAGCCGCGGUAAU